rnacentral:rRNA from 9 species
UGGAAGUAAAAGUCGUAACAAGGUCUCCGUUGGUGAACCAGCGGAGGGAUCAUUAC